AAAAGUCGUAACAAGGUCUCCGUUGGUGAACCAGCGGAGGGAUCAUUACUGAGUUUACGCUCUACAACCCUUUGUGAACAUACCUAUAACUGUUGCUUCGGCGGGUAGGGUCUCCGCGACCCUCCCGGCCUCCCGCCUCCGGGCGGGUCGGCGCCCGCCGGAGGAUAACCAAACUCUGAUUUAACGACGUUUCUUCUGAGUGGUACAAGCAAAUAAUCAAAACUUUUAACAACGGAUCUCUUGGUUCUGGCAUCGAUGAAGAACGCAGCGAAAUGCGAUAAGUAAUGUGAAUUGCAGAAUUCAGUGAAUCAUCGAAUCUUUGAACGCACAUUGCGCCCGCCAGCAUUCUGGCGGGCAUGCCUGUUCGAGCGUCAUUUCAACCCUCAAGCUCUGCUUGGUGUUGGGGCCCUACAGCCGAUGUAGGCCCUCAAAGGUAGUGGCGGACCCUCCCGGAGCCUCCUUUGCGUAGUAACUUUACGUCUCGCACUGGGAUCCGGAGGGACUCUUGCCGUAAAACCCCCCAAUUUUCCAAAGGUUGACCUCGGAUCAGGUAGGAAUACCCGCUGAACUUAAGCAUAUCAAUAA
rnacentral:rRNA from 1 species